CAACCCUCGAGCCCCUCCGGGGGAUCGGUGUUGGGGACCGGCACCCCGCUGUACGCAGCGGUCGCCGCCCCCGAAAUACAGUGGCGGCCUCGCCGCAGCCUCCUAUGCGCAGUAGCUUGCAAAACUCGCAUCCUGGAGCGCGGUGCGGCCACAGCCGUUAAACCCCCCAAUAUUUCAAAU
rnacentral:misc_RNA from 1 species